GACGAACGCUGGCGGCGUGCUUAACACAUGCAAGUCGAACGCUGAAGCUCAGCUUUUGUUGGGUGGAUGAGUGGCGAACGGGUGAGUAACACGUGAGUAACCUGCCUCCUUCUUUGGGAUAACGCCCGGAAACGGGUGCUAAUACUGGAUAUUCACUGGUCUUCGCAUGGGGGUUGGUGGAAAGGGUUUUUCUGGUGGGGGAUGGGCUCGCGGCCUAUCCGCUUGUUGGUGGGGUGAUGGCCUACCAAGGCUUUGACGGGUAGCCGGCAUGAGAGGGUGACCGGUAACAUUGGGACUGAGAUACGGCCCAGAAUCCGACGGGAGGCAGCAGAGGGGAAUAUGGCACAAUGGGGGAAAGCAUGAUGCAGCGACGCCGCGUGAGGGAUGGAGGCCUUCGGGUUGUGAACCUCUUUCGCUCAUGGUCAAGCCGCAACAAUGGUUGUGGUGAGGGUAGUGGGUAAAGAAGCGCCGGCUAACUACGUG
rnacentral:rRNA from 1 species